GACGGACUGAAGGCUCUUCUCGAUCCGUGGAAAGUGGUGCAUGGCCGUUUUGGUUGGUGGAUCGAUCCGUCUGGUUAAUUCCGUUAACGAACGAGACCUCGGCACUCCGAAUAGCGCGGCGGACGUCGCGGCCUCCGGGCCGUCUUCCGCACGAGCUUCUUAGAGGGACCGUCCCCCGCCGGGGAAGGAGGUGCGAGGCAACGACAGGUCUGUGAUGCCCUUAGAUGUUCUGGGCCGCACGCGCAUUACACUGACGCGUCCAACGGGUGACUCCCGACCCGAAGGGGCCGGGGAAUCCGCAAGGCGCGUCGUGAUGGGGAUUGAACGUUGCAAUUGUUGUUCACGAACGAGGAAUUCCUAGUAGGCGCGGGUCAUCAACCCCGCGCCGAUUACGUCCCUGCCCUUUGUACACACCGCCCGUC
rnacentral:rRNA from 1 species